rfam:Myotis davidii contig319972, whole genome shotgun sequence.
UAAGCCCCGCUCAGAAGUCAAGAGCAGCAACGCCGCCGCCUCCGUGCGGCCUUUCAGGACGCGGCCUGUCCUUAUUCUCGUGCCUCGUCCUCUCUGGUCGCCCCGGACAAAGCCCCCGGUGCCGGCAGCUCCCUUCCCUCCAAAUUCCCUUCGGGUCAGUGUGCUACCAGCCCCGGCCGCGCGCUUUCCCUUCUCCUGGGGAUCUAGCCCCCCACGCUGAUGCCCCGACCGUCGCCCGCGGACUCCCAGCCCCCCUCCCCUCGCCUCCUCCCCUGAGCAGUUGGUAGGCCUGGCCUUGGGGCCACAGAGCUGAGUU